UACGUAGGGGGCAAGCGUUGUCCGGAUUUAUUGGGCGUAAAGAGCGUGUAGGCGGCUUUACAGGUCCGUUGUGAAAACUCGAGGCUCAACCUCGAGACGUCGGCGGAAACCAUCUGGCUAGAGUCCGGAAGAGGAGAGUGGAAUUCCUGGUGUAGCGGUGAAAUGCGCAGAUAUCAGGAAGAACACCCGUGGCGAAGGCGGCUCUCUGGGACGGUACUGACGCUGAGACGCGAAAGCGUGGGGAGCAAACAGG
rnacentral:rRNA from 1 species